UGUACAAGACAAAAGGAAAAACAAACCCUC
rnacentral:piRNA from 1 species